CCCAUGGUAAUUUUGACCUGCUUCUCCCAAGUCUUUGUGGUGGUAAGCCCAUAUUACCCUCACUGUGCUCUCCGUUAUGCUCUUAUCGUUUGGAUCACAAGUGUGCAGUUCUCUGCUAAAAGCCAGUAUGGUGUGAGUACUGUUUUCCAUGGCAUAUUCCAGGUGGUAAUCCUGUUGUGGGUCUUUUUUCAAUACUCUGUUUUCAUCUGUAUGAUAAUCGUGUACAUUAGAAGCAUUUACAGUUUCUGCACUCC
rnacentral:lncRNA from 1 species